rnacentral:rRNA from 1 species
UACGUAGGGUCCGAGCGUUGUCCGGAAUUAUUGGGCGUAAAGAGCUCGUAGGCGGUUUGUCACGUCUGCUGUGAAAUCCCGAGGCUCAACCUCGGGCCUGCAGUGGGUACGGGCAGACUGGAGUGCGGUAGGGGAGAUUGGAAUUCCUGGUGUAGCGGUGGAAUGCGCAGAUAUCAGGAGGAACACCGAUGGCGAAGGCAGAUCUCUGGGCCGUAACUGACGCUGAGGAGCGAAAGCGUGGGGAGCGAACAGG